AGUGAACGCUGGCGGUAGGCCUAACACAUGCAAGUCGAACGGCAGCACAGUAAGAGCUUGCUCUUACGGGUGGCGAGUGGCGGACGGGUGAGGAAUACAUCGGAAUCUACUUUUUCGUGGGGGAUAACGUAGGGAAACUUACGCUAAUACCGCAUACGACCUACGGGUGAAAGCAGGGGAUCUUCGGACCUUGCGCGAUUGAAUGAGCCGAUGUCGGAUUAGCUAGUUGGCGGGGUAAAGGCCCACCAAGGCGACGAUCCGUAGCUGGUCUGAGAGGAUGAUCAGCGACACUAGAACUGAGACACGGUCCAGACUCCUACGGGAGGCAGCAGUGGGGAAUAGUGGACAAUGGGCGCAAGCCUGAUCCAGCCAGACCGCGUGGGUGAAGAAGGCCUUCGGGUUGUAAAGCCCUUUUGUUGGGAAAGAAAAGCAGCAGGUUAAUACCACGCUGUUCUGACGGUACCCAAAGAAUAAGCACCGGCUAACUUCGUG
rnacentral:rRNA from 1 species